CCCCUGGAGGGCGCCCUGACGCUCCGACCUGGGAGAGGGUGUCGCGUGGCCGCGCGGGGUUGUCCCUCCCACCUUCUCCGGAAAACGCCAAUCUUCCCCGGUCCUCGCACCCCUGGCACUUCACCCACCUGGAGGCCAUCCCCUUCUGGGUUUAAUUGGCGUUUCCCUGCUUCCUGCUGAGGUCACUUUUCCAUAAGUCUGUUGGCCAUUUGUAUUUCCUCUUUUUUUAAAGUGUCUCUUCUCGUUUUUUGGCGACCCCCCCCCCCCCCCCCCACACACACACACAGUUUAGAUGUUGGUAUGUUUCUUACUGGUUGGCAGUCCUUUCUGCCUCCUGGUUCCCGCUCCUUCCCUGUGGCAUGGGUGUUGCACAUGAUCUCCUCCCACUCUGUGGCUCGCCUUUUUACCCUCUUAAUGAAAAGGUGUCCUGAUAAAGAGAAGAUCGUGAUUUUAAAGUCGUUGAAUUGUAUCUUUCCUUUAAGGUGAGAACACAGCCUGGCUGACUCCUUCUUUGUGAGACCCCGAGGGGAAGACUAGCUAAGUAAGCUGUGCCGACUGCUGACCCAUGGAAACUGUGAGGUGAGGAUUAAAAAAUAAAAAUAAAUAAGAGAACAUGCCAAAUGAGCAACAUGGGAAGUCAGAGGAGGAAGGAAAGACUGGCCUGUGUGGUGGGUGCUUCUCGUGCAGGGGCACGAGAUCUCGGCUGGAAGACAAAAGCAUAGUGGAGAGCCAUUGAAGGUUUACAGCAGGGAAUGCUGGUAACCAUGACUGAGCACAUGGCUCUUAAAGAUGAUUCUUCUGAUAGUUGGUGUGAAGGGGUUGCAGAGAGACUGGACGUGACGGAGACCUAGAUCUGCUGUCACGAGAUGGAAAAGAAGGCUGUGUAGCCUUUGAAAGAAAAAACACACAUCUAUACCUCCAUAAGGCUGUUUUUAAAAAAGAAAGAACAAGACUACAGGUCCCAGUUCCCACAUGUAGAAAUAGAGGAAGGGGAUAUGUUUUCACUGAAACUAACGAGAUGAAAGGUAUGGAUUUGGCUUGUAAUCGUGAACUUGAGGUGACAGCUCAGAUUUGGAAAUGGAUUCCUCAGACAAUGUGGCAUGUUGUAUGCAGUUAAGAAUUAUUCUUCAGGAAAAAAAAAAAGAAUUAUUCUUCAGGAGAAACCAAGAUGGCAGCAUAGGUAA